UAAGGAAUAUUGGGCAAUGGAGGGAACUCUGACCCAGCCAUUCCGCGUGGAGGAAGAAGGCCCUAUGGGUUGUAAACUUCUUUUAGAUGGGAAUAAAAUGAUACCUGCGGGUGUUACUGAAGGUACCAUCAGAAUAAGCACCGGCUAACUCCGUGCCAGCAGCCGCGGUAAUACGGAGGGUGCGAGCGUUAUCCGGAUUUACUGGGUUUAAAGGGUGCGUAGGCGGGGUACUAAGUCUGUGGUGAAAUACUGUAGCUUAACUAUAGGAUUGCCAUGGAUACUGGUAUUCUUGAAUUACAAUGAGGAUAGCGGAAUGUGACAUGUAGCGGUGAAAUGCAUAGAUAUGUCAUAGAACACCAAUUGCGAAGGCAGCUAUCUGGUUGAGGAUUGACGCUGAGGC
rnacentral:rRNA from 1 species